rfam:Cyanobacterium stanieri PCC 7202, complete genome.
GCUACCUUGGCUCAAUUGGUAGAGCGAAUCAUUCGUAAUGAUUAGGUUGUGGGUUCGAGUCCCAUAGGUAGCU